rnacentral:rRNA from 1 species
GAGUUUGAUCCUGGCUCAGAGCGAACGCUGGCGGCAGGCUUAACACAUGCAAGUCGAGCGGGCGUAGCAAUACGUCAGCGGCAGACGGGUGAGUAACGCGUGGGAACGUACCUUUUGGUUCGGAACAACACAGGGAAACUUGUGCUAAUACCGGAUAAGCCCUUACGGGGAAAGAUUUAUCGCCGAAAGAUCGGCCCGCGUCUGAUUAGCUAGUUGGUGAGGUAAUGGCUCACCAAGGCGACGAUCAGUAGCUGGUCUGAGAGGAUGAUCAGCCACAUUGGGACUGAGACACGGCCCAAACUCCUACGGGAGGCAGCAGUGGGGAAUAUUGGACAAUGGGGGCAACCCUGAUCCAGCCAUGCCGCGUGAGUGAUGAAGGCCCUAGGGUUGUAAAGCUCUUUUGUGCGGGAA